GAUUAGUGGCGAACGGGUGAGUAACACGUGGGUGAUCUGCCCUGCACUUUGGGAUAAGCCUGGGAAACUGGGUCUAAUACCGGAUAGGACUACGCUCUGCAUGGGGUGUGGUGGAAAGCUUUGCGGUGUGGGAUGGGCCCGCGGCCUAUCAGCUUGUUGGUGGGGUGAUGGCCUACCAAGGCGACGACGGGUAGCCGGCCUGAGAGGGUGUCCGGCCACACUGGGACUGAGAUACGGCCCAG
rnacentral:rRNA from 1 species